rnacentral:rRNA from 1 species
GAUGAACGCUGACAGAAUGCUUAACACAUGCAAGUCUACUUGAAUUUGGGUUUUUUAACUUAGAUUUGGGUGGCGGACGGGUGAGUAACGCGUAAAGAACUUGCCUCACAGCUAGGGGCAACAUUUGGAAACGAAUGCUAAUACCUGAUAUUAUGAUUAUAAGGCAUCUUAGAAUUAUGAAAGCUAUAUGCGCUGUGAGAGAGCUUUGCGUCCCAUUAGCUAGUUGGAGAGGUAACGGCUCACCAAGGCGAUGAUGGGUAGCCGGCCUGAGAGGGUGAACGGCCACAAGGGGACUGAGACACGGCCCUUACUCCUACGGGAGGCAGCAGUGGGGAAUAUUGGACAAUGGACCAAGAGUCUGAUCCAGCAAUUCUGUGUGCACGAUGACGUUUUUCGGAAUGUAAAGUGCUUUCAGUUGGGAAGAAAAAAAUGACGGUACCAACAGAAGAAGUGACGGCUAAAUACGUG